rnacentral:rRNA from 1 species
GACGAACGCUGGCGGCGUGCUUAACACAUGCAAGUCGAACGGAGUGGCGAACGGGUGAGUAACACGUGGGUGACCUGCCCUGCACUUCGGGAUACGCCUGGGAAACUGGGUUUAAUACCGGAUAGUGUGGGAUGGGCACGCGGCCAAUCAGCUUGUUGGUGGGGGAAUGGCCUACCAAGGCGGCGCCGGGUAGCCGGCCUGUGAGAGUGGACGGCCACAUUGGGACUGAGACACGGCGCAGACGCCUACGGGAGGCAGCGGUGGAGAGUAUUGCACAAUGAGCGGGAGCCUGAGGCAGCGACGCCGCGUGGGGGAUGACGGGCUUCGGGUUGUAAACUCCUUUCACCAUCGACGCGGUAGAUGGAGAAGAAGCACCGGCUAACUACGUGCCAGCAGCCGCGGUAAUUC